rnacentral:rRNA from 1 species
GACAGAGGGUGCAAACGUUGCUCGGAAUUACUGGGCGUAAAGCGCGUGUAGGUGGAUUGGUGUGUCAGAUGUGAAAGCCCUGGGCUCAACCCAGGAACUGCACCUGAAACUACCAGUCUUGAGUGGUGGAGAGGGAAGUGGAAUUCCUGGUGUAGAGGUGAAAUUCGUAGAUAUCAGGAGGAACACCAGUGGCGAAGGCGGCAUCCUGGACCGACACUGACGCUGAGGAGCGAAAGCCAGGGGAGCAAACGGG